UCUACGGGAGGCAGCAGUGGGGAAUAUUGGACAAUGGGCGAAAGCCUGAUCCAGCAAUGCCGCGUGAGUGAUGAAGGCCUUAGGGUUGUAAAGCUCUUUUACCCGGGAUGAUAAUGACAGUACCGGGAGAAUAAGCUCCGGCUAACUACGUGCCAGCAGCCGCGGUAAUA
rnacentral:rRNA from 1 species